UCCGUAGGCGGGCAAUUAAGUCAGAGGUGAAAUCCCACAGCUCAACUGUGGAACUGCCUUUGAUACUGGUUGUCUUGAGUUACAGUGAAGUAGAUAGAAUAUGUAGUGUAGCGGUGAAAUGCAUAGAUAUUACAUAGAAUACCGAUUGCGGAGGCAGUCUACUAACUGUAUACUGACGCUAAUGGACGAAAGCGUGGGGAGCGAACAGGAUUAGAUACCCUGGUAGUCC
rnacentral:rRNA from 1 species